rnacentral:rRNA from 1 species
UACAGAGGGUGCAAGCGUUGUUCGGAAUCAUUGGGCGUAAAGGGCGUGUAGGCGGUUUGCUAAGUCAUGUGUGAAAUCCCUCGGCUCAACCGAGGAACGUCGAUCGAUACUGCUGUUCUUGAGGAUUGCAGAGGAGACUGGAAUUCCCGGUGUAGCGGUGAAAUGUGUAGAGAUCGGGAGGAACACCGGUGGCGAAGGCGGGUCUCUGGGCAAUUCCUGACGCUGAGGCGCGAAAGCGUGGGGAGCAAACGGG